rnacentral:lncRNA from 1 species
GAAGCUGGAGGAGGUGGUGGAGGGGAACUUGUAGGAGGAUUGGCGGAUGGUGGAGGAGGUGAACUGGUUGGAGGAUUACUUGACGGAGGUGGUGGUGAACUCUGUGGUGGUAUGGAUACUGGAGGAGGUGGUGAACUAGACUGUGGAGGGGGUGUAGUAGCUUGUGGAGGUGGUGGUGAACUCUGUGGUGGUACGGAUGCUGGAGGAGGGGGUGAACUAGACUGUGGAGGGGGUGAAGUAGCUUGUGGAGGUGGGGAUGCAGACGAUGGAGGUGGUGAUGAGGUUGCAGGUGGAUUUGAUGACGGUGGAGGAGGACUAGAGGCUGGAGGCGGAGCUGUAGAUUGGGGAGGUGUAGAUGAUGAAGUAGGAGGUGGGGAAGCCAUAGGAGGUUGCUGUGUCGGAGAAGGUG